AGGGCACCACCAGGAGUGGAGCCUGCGGCUUAAUUUGACUCAACACGGGAAAACUCACCCGGCCCGGACACUGGAAGGAUUGACAGAUUGAGAGCUCUUUCUUGAUUCAGUGGGUGGUGGUGCAUGGCCGUUCUUAGUUGGUGGAGUGAUUUGUCUGGUUAAUUCCGAUAACGAACGAGACUCUAGCCUACUAAAUAGAUCGUCGGCUUACAAACGCCGGCGAGAUUUCUUAGAGGGACAGGCGGUGAUUCAACCGCACGAAACAGAGCAAUAACAGGUCUGUGAUGCCCUUAGAUGUCCGGGGCCGCACGCGCGCUACACUGAGGUGAUCAGCGUGCUUUUUCAACCUACUCUGUCAAGAGUGGGGAACCCAAUGAACCUUCUUCGUGAUUGGGAUAGGGGAUUGUAAUUAUUCCCCUUGAACGAGGAAUUCCCAGUAAGCGCGAGUCAUAAGCUCGCGUUGAUUACGUCCCUGCCCUUUGUACACACCGCCCGUCGCUACUACCGAUUGAAUGUUUU
rnacentral:rRNA from 1 species